AGAAGAGUUGCCCUUCUACAUGGUGGCAAUAGCAGCAUCUCCUGGCUUCCAACCCCAGCCUCACACAACUUCCUUAAUUCUGCAGCUGCAUCUGGAAUUCUACCAUUUGGGUCCUGGUCUUUAUAGAACUUAGGGCUCAUAACAUUUGUUCCCUAGGAUACAGGCAUCAGAACUGGGGCUCUGCGAUCAUCAUCUUGAAAGUACAAGGUCAUCCCCCUGUGCACAAAAAAGGCUACAUAGGGGUGAGGAAGACCCUUGCGGUUCGUUCUGCCUGGCUCUCCCGGGCUGCCCCUCCUCUGCCCCAUCACAGCCAAGCUCAUUUGGUCUUGGCUGCCCUGGCUCUGCCCUCGGGGUUAUGGAACUGUCAGCUUGAUUUCCACAACCUUCCAUCAGCUGAGCGGGUGGCCAUCUCUCAAUCCUGAUCAGACUGGAUACCAUCAGCUUUGUAACAUCCGUUCCCUUGGGCCCCAGCAAGAAGCCACGAAGUGGGGAGAAGGUCUAAGGAUGCCUGGGCUCUUCGGCCACAGCUUCCUCGGCAACUUGGAAACGGCUCCAGAAACAAGCAGGAGCUUGUUUCAACUCCCGGAGGAAGACAGCCCAAUUCAGUACUGCCUUGUGGACGGGCGAGUUGGAGAAGACAGUGAGGACUUGCACUCAGAGAGCUCUGUGGAAACCUCGGAAGGAGCUCGGGGACUGGCCUAACUUCCCACUCUGAGGAUGGCUGACAGGCUCAAGAAAGGAAACUGACUUCUCCAAAUCCCCACAGUGAGUCUGCGCAGCGCUUCUGCCCACUCUAAAGCUCCCAUGGAGAGCUUUGGCCUCUCUGUGUCCUUUUCUUACCAGUUUUCCACGGCAGAAAAUUCAAGAACCAUCAGCAAGAAGCUGACAGGGUAGGAGCAGCCAGGCCCAAAGGGCCAGAGGCAAGCCAAGAAGGCUUACAUCUCACCAGUCAUGAGUGGCCCAGGGAAAAUAUUGACCUUCUAGUUUCUAAUGCCAAGUUCCAUGAAAGCCUACAACUCCAGACUGAGAAAAUACACCGGGGUUUCAUAAAUAUUUGAAAGUGUCCUAUCGAUUAUCAUCUUGGUAUGGCUGCAACCCUGGAUCUGAGGGUGGGCAGGGACAGAAGGCUGGGCCCUCCCCUGCACCACAAGAUCCCCAAAGUUAUCUAGUCAUCCAUUCAGAGUCUGUGCAUGUUUGUCUUCACUGGAAGUCAAAGCAGGAUUAGACUGGGAAGGAGUGGCUGGGGG
rnacentral:lncRNA from 1 species